AAGUCGUAACAAGGUCUCCGUUGGUGAACCAGCGGAAGGAUCAUUAUAAAAUCUUAGUUUGGUCUCCUUGUGAGAUCAUUCAACCCUUGUGAACUAGUUGAUUCCGAUCCCUUUGAGUUUGGCCUUAGGUUCUGUGUGUCUUGAGCUGGUUAGGUUUGAGUCUGGUUUAUAUUCUGGAUUCGCCUUGCUGGUUCGACCUGGGAUCUUUGGUCUUUAGGCUCAAAGGGAAAGGAUAGCCAAUCCCUAGGUUUGACCUUAGGGUCUUGACUAGGGAAUGGUUCCCCUUUAAUUUAACUUGUCUUGUUUGGUUUGUUGGAUGGUGUUCGCAGCCGAAAGGCGGAACUUUUGAAUUUAAAUACAACUUUCAGCAACGGAUCUCUUGGCUCUC
rnacentral:misc_RNA from 1 species